rnacentral:rRNA from 1 species
CCUACGGGGUGCAGCAGGCGAGAAAACUUUGCAAUGUGCGAAAGCACGACAAGGUUAAUCCGAGUGAUUUCUGCUAAAGAAAUCUUUUGCCAGUCGUAAAACCGCUGGUGAAUAAGGGGUGGGCAAGUUCUGGUGUCAGCCGCCGCGGUAAAACCAGCACCUCAAGUGGUCAGGAUGAUUAUUGGGCCUAAAGCAUCCGUAGCCGGCUUUGUAAGUUUUCGGUUAAAUCCAUGUGCUCAACGCAUGGGCUGCCGAAAAUACUGCAUAGCUAGGGAGUGGGAGAGGUAGACGGUACUCAGUAGGUAGGGGUAAAAUCCUUUGAUCUAUUGAUGACCACCUGUGGCGAAGGCGGUCUACCAGAACACGUUCGACGGUGAGGGAUGAAAGCUGGGGGAGCAAACCGGAUUAGAUACCCGGGUAGUCCCAGCUGUAAACGAUGCAGACUAGAUGAUGCAUUGGCAUAAUAGCCAUUGCAGUGUCUCAGGGAAGCCGUUAAGUCUGCCGCCUGGGAAGUACGUACGCAAGUAUGAAACUUAAAGGAAUUGGCGGGGGAGCACCACAAGGGGUGAAGCCUGCGGUUCAAUUGGAGUCAACGCCAGAAAUCUUACCCGGAGAGACAGCAGAAUGAAGGUCAAGCUGAAGACUUUACCAGACAAGCUGAGAGGUGGUGCAUGGCCGUCGCCAGCUCGUGCCGUGAGAUGUCCUGUUAAGUCAGGUAACGAGCGAGAUCCCUGCCGCUAGUUGCUAUCAUUAUUCUCAGGAAUAGUGGAGCGAAUUAGCGGGACUGCCGUUGUUAAAACGGAGGAAGGAAGGGGCUACGGCAGGUCAGUAUGCCCCGAAACUCUGGGGCCACACGCGGGCUGCAAUGGUAGUGACAAUGAGUUCCAAACUCGAAAGAGAGUGGCAAUCUCUAAACGCUACCACAGUUAUGACUGAGGGCUGUAACUCGCCCUCACGAAUAUGGAAUCCCUAGUAACCGCGUGUCAUUACCGCGCGGUGAAUACGUCCCUGCUCCUUGCACUCACCGCCCGUC